UUCAGCCGGAGCCAGUCCUUACUGAAGCUCUUUGUGAAGGAGAGAGAUCGCUGAUCAAACUCCUGUUCCGUGCGGGGGAGGCCAGCGCUUCUGGACUCCAGAUGUGACUCUGAGAGCCUCUCACUGCCCCAUCUCCAGCAGUGAUUCCUCUGCGGGUCUCACCAACCCUGGGAAACGGGGCAGGAGAAGGCCAAGAGCGUGGUUCUUCUGAAGCCCUUCCAUCAGGCUGUGGAGGAGGCUGCAGGCUGAGCUGGCUGUGCCUGGGCUGCAGGGCAGUGCUGGAGCUCCUUUAACUUCCAGGCGGGGUGUUUUCCAUUUCAUCGACAUGAUCUGGAUGCCAACGAAAUGAAGACCAUUUCUGGCGAAGGAAAUGACAGAUUAAAUUAUAGCCAGUCGGCUGUUCCAAGGUUGUUUGGACCUUUUUCUCUUGUUGAAGCCAAGAUAUGUGAGGCAAAUGUAUGACAGAAUGGCUCAACCUUUCCUCAGACAAGAGAUUGCUUUGUUUUCAUCCAAGUCAAAAAGUGAUUGUAGCUUGCAUCCACUGGCCAACUUUGCCUUCUUUCAAGCACCCACUGAAACCUGUGAACAGGGACAAUACAGAGGGAGAAGUCCUGCAGCGAUUAUGACAGGCCAUGUGCCCUCCAGGACUUUCCAAGAUGCACAUUCUGCACAUCAUCUGAGUGUCCUUUGGCAGCAACAGUUGGCCCAAGCCUUGCAGCAGCAGCUGGUAUAUUUUCCAGGAGAGAAUAGGAAGAAAAAGGAGCUGCAGCCAUGCAUUUGCUUUUAA
rnacentral:lncRNA from 1 species